rnacentral:rRNA from 1 species
CUACGGGCGGCUGCAGUGAGGAAUAUUGGACAAUGGACGCAAGUCUGAUCCAGCAACGCUGCGUGAAGGAUGAAGGUUUUCGGAUCGUAAACUUCUUUUGCAAAGGAAGAAAUCAUUGACGGUACUUUGCGAAUAAGCUACGGCUAACUACGUGCCAGCAGCCGCGGUAAUACGUAGGUAGCAAGCGUUACUCGGAAUUACUAGGCGUAAAGAGUAUGUAGGCGGAAAUUUAAGUCUGAUGUGUAAUCUCCGGGCUCAACCCGGAAAUUGCAUCGGAAACUGGAUAUCUAGAGUGAGGCAGAGGAAAUCGGAAUUCCUAGUGUAGCGGUGAAAUGCGUAGAUAUUAGGAGGAACACCAAUGGCGAAAGCAGAUUUCUGGGCCUUUACUGACGCUCAAGUACGAAAGCUGAGGUAGCAAACAGGAUUAGAUACCCUCGUAGUC